rnacentral:rRNA from 1 species
GGGCCCGCACAAGCGGUGGAGCAUGUGGUUUAAUUCGAUGAUACGCGAGGAACCUUACCAGGGCUUAAAUGUAGUGGGACAGGUCUAGAGAUAGACCCUUCUUCGGACUCAUUACAAGGUGCUGCAUGGUUGUCGUCAGCUCGUGCCGUGAGGUGUCAGGUUAAGUCCUAUAACGAGCGCAACCCCUAUCGUUAGUUGCCAGCGAGUAAUGUCGGGAACUCUAACGAAACUGCCAGUGCAAACUGUGAGGAAGGUGGGGAUGACGUCAAAUCAUCACGGCCCUUACGUCCUGGGCUACACACGUGCUACAAUGGCCGGUACAGAGAGCAGCCACUUCGCAAGAAGGAGCGAAUCUUUAAAACCGAUCUCAGUUCGGAUCGCAGUCUGCAACUCGACUGCGUGAAGCUGGAAUCGCUAGUAAUCGGAUAU